GGUGUUCACUUUUCUUUGCAAGGAGAUGAGUAAAUCAAAGAAGUCUCUUAGUAUGCGGGAAUUAGGUCAGCGCUCAAAUGCCGGGUACAUGGGUGGUUUUUCCUCCGUUUUACUGGUGAGUUACAUGAACAUUAUUUUGUAUAUCUUUUCAUUUUGAUAAUGAUUAUUGUUUAUGCACAUGCUAAUGUGUAGUUUCUUUUUUGUAGGUUUGUUUUUAUGAAAAAGUAGGGGAAUUAGAGUACACUUCAGAUAUUGAAAGGUUACCGCCGCUCUUUUGUGUGAAGAGUACUGGAAAGUGGAGGAGGACUACUAUGAACAAAUUAUAUAGAGUCCCGAAGUUGGUUACGGAUAAUGGCCAAGAGAAUACUCCUCUUAUUCAUACGGCAUCGCCAAUAGUAUUUGAAUCAAGGAAAGCUGAAUUAAUUUUCUUAAUUGCGGAGAAGACGUACGAGUUGAAUGAGCUCACUAUAGAAUUACGAGAAUUAGA